rnacentral:rRNA from 1 species
CCAGGCGCGAAAACUUUACAAUGCCGGCAACGGCGAUAAGGGAACCUCGAGUGCCAGGUUACAAAUCUGGCUGUCGUGAUGCCUAAAAAGCAUUGCAUAGCAAGGGCCGGGCAAGACCGGUGCCAGCCGCCGCGGUAACACCGGCGGCUCGAGUGGUAACCGUUAUUAUUGGGUCUAAAGGGUCUGUAGCCGGCCGGGUAAGUCUCUUGGGAAAUCUGGCAGCUUAACUGUCAGGCUUUCAGGAGAUACUGCCUGGCUCGAGGCCGGGAGAGGUGAGAGGUACUUCAGGGGUAGGGGUGAAAUCUUGUAAUCCUUGAAGGACCACCAGUGGCGAAGGCGUCUCACCAGAACGGACCUGACGGCAAGGGACGAAAGCUAGGGGCACGAACCGGAUUAGAUACCCGGGUAGUCCUAGCCGUAAACGAUACUCGCUAGGUGUCGGCCACGGUGCGACCGUGGUCGGUGCCGUAGGGAAGCCGUGAAGCGAGCCACCUGGGAAGUACGGCCGCAAGGCUGAAACUUAAAGGAAUUGGCGGGGGAGCAC